rnacentral:rRNA from 1 species
GACGAACGCUGGCGGCAGGCCUAACACAUGCAAGUCGAACGCCCUAGCAAUAGGGAGUGGCAGACGGGUGAGUAACGCGUGGGAACCUUCCCAUUGGUACGGAAUAGCCCAGGGAAACUUGGAGUAAUACCGUAUAAGCCCGAAAGGGGAAAGAUUUAUCGCCGAUGGAUGGGCCCGCGUAGGAUUAGCUAGUUGGUGAGGUAAUGGCUCACCAAGGCGACGAUUCUUAGCUGGUCUGAGGGGACGAUCAGCCACACUGGGACUGAGACACGGCCCAGACUCCUACGGGAGGCAGCAGGGGGGAAUAUUGGACAAUGGGCGCAAGCCUGAUCCAGCCAUGCCGCGUGAGUGACGAAGGCCUUAGGGUUGUAAAGCUCUUUUGGCGGGGACGAUAAUGACGGUACCCGCAGAAUAAGCCCUGGCUAACUUCGUGCCAGCAGCCGCCGUAAUAC